CGUCGUAUGUUACAAGUGUCGACACGGAACUGCCGGUCAUAAACCGGAGGAAGGUGGGAUGACGUCAAGUCAGCAUGGCCUUUAUAUCCUGGGCUACACACACGCUACAAUGGGAAGGGACAAUAGGUUGCGAAAGCCGCGAGGCGGAGCCAAUCCAGCAAAAACUUCCCUCAGUUCAGAUUGCAGGCUGCAACUCGCCCUGCAUGAAGUUGGAGUUGCUAGUAAACGCAGGUCAGCCAUACUGCGUUGAAUACGUUCCCGGGGCUU
rnacentral:rRNA from 1 species